rnacentral:rRNA from 1 species
AACGAACGCUGGCGGCAUGCCUAACACAUGCAAGUCGAACGAGACCUUCGGGUCUAGUGGCGCACGGGUGCGUAACGCGUGGGAACCUGCCCUUAGGUUCGGAAUAACUCCCCGAAAGGGGUGCUAAUACCGGAUAAUGUCUUCGGACCAAAGAUUUAUCGCCUUUGGAUGGGCCCGCGCUGGAUUAGCUAGUUGGUAGGGUAAAAGCCUACCAAGGCGAGGAUCCAUAGCUGGUCUGAGAGGCUGAUCAGCCACACUGGGACGGAGAAACGGCCCAGACUACUAGGGGAGGGAGCAGAGGGUGAUACUGCCAAAUGGGCUGAAGCCAGAUCGAGCUAUGCUGGGUAAGCGAUGAAGGUCUGAGGGUAGUACAGCUCUUUAACCCGGGGCGAUAAUGACAGUACCGGGAGAAUAAGCUCCGGCUAACUUCGUG